AAUGGCAGGUCAGCAUACUGCCGUGAAUACGUUCCCGGGCCUUGUACACACCGCCCGUCACACCAUGAGAGUUGGGGAUACCCGAAGCCUGUGAGCUAACUUUUAGAGGCAGCAGUCGAAGGUAGAAUCAAUGAUUGGGGUGAAGUCGUAACAAGGUAUC
rnacentral:rRNA from 1 species